UUGCUCGGAAUCACUGGGCGUAAAGGGUGCGUAGGCGGUUUUUUAAGUCAGAGGUGAAAUCCUGGAGCUCAACUCCAGAACUGCCUUUGAUACUGAAAGUCUUGAGUAUGGGAGAGGUGAGUGGAACUGCGAGUGUAGAGGUGAAAUUCGUAGAUAUUCGCAAGAACACCAGUGGCGAAGGCGACUAACUGGACAAGUACUGACGCUGAGGUACGAAAGCGUGGGGAGCAAACAGG
rnacentral:rRNA from 1 species